rnacentral:rRNA from 1 species
CUCGUAGGCGGCCAACUAAGUCAGACGUGAAAUCCCUCAGCUUAACUGGGGAACUGCGUCUGAUACUGGAUGGCUUGGAUCCAGGAGAGGGAUGCGGAAUUCCAGGUGUAGCGGUGAAAUGCGUAGAUAUCUGGAGGAACACCGGUGGCGAAGGCGGCAUCCUGGACCGGUAUUGACGCUGAGGAGCGAAAGCCAGGGGAGCAAACG